AGUUUGCUGUGAUCUCGUGACCAAAGACAUAAACCUUGUCACAGCAAGGGGCCAGAAUUAUGGACCAGGAGCCAAUGGAAAGCUGUGGUGCCACCCACACCUGAAACACAGAGGAAGACUGUGAGAUGCUGUCGAAAUUACCAAAGAAACUUGAGUCUCUGUCCCUCACUCUUCAGGACAGAUCAUUUAAUCCAGGACGAGGAGUUGGAGGUGUGUGGAGGAGGAUUUCCAGAACAUCAAAUCUUCCCUUGGUUGUGGAAUUAAAGUGGUGAAUAAUGCAUGGCUGAAAGCAUCCGUCUCUCUUAGAUGCCUCUUCUGGACAACAGGGGAUCUGAAG